ACGAUCUUCUUCAUCUGAUGAGGAGUAUGAAAGAUCGGACCAAAACACAGCAUGGGCAAGUUGAGUCCUUUGUGAAUGACAAACGUGCUGCCACAGGUCUGUGAGGACGGCAGUAGCAGGCGUAUCAGGAGCAGAAGUGACGGGAGUCUUUUAAGGUGAGAGACAAGACUCAUUUCCGACUGAUGAAAUAGCCAUUGCCUCCCUUUCCCAUUUCAGCUGUCC
rnacentral:lncRNA from 13 species